GCUCCUGAUGCCCAAGAGACGGUUCCGAAGUGCCCUAGGAAGUGCCUAUGGGCGGUCCGCCGUCUCUCCCAACACCUGUGAACGCCUUCGUCCUCUGAACCUCUCUGACCAGUUCCAACGAGUACAGCUGGCCUCCUAGAUGUAUGGAACUGUCCCUGGAGCUGUAGCCCUUCACCACCAUCUCUACCUCCUUCCUUCUGAGGGAUCCUGAAACCUCUGUCAUGGAAAAGUACCACGUGUUGGAGAUGAUUGGAGAAGGCUCUUUUGGGAGGGUGUACAAGGGUCGAAGAAAAUACAGUGCUCAGGUGGUGGCCCUGAAGUUCAUUCCAAAAUUGGGACGCUCAGAGAAGGAGCUGAGGAAUCUGCAACGAGAGAUUGAAAUCAUGCGGGGUCUGCGGCAUCCCAACAUUGUGCAUAUGCUUGACAGCUUUGAAACUGACAAAGAGGUGGUGGUGGUGACAGACUAUGCUGAGGGAGAGCUCUUUCAGAUCUUGGAAGAUGACGGAAAACUUCCCGAAGACCAGGUUCAAGUCAUUGCUGCCCAGUUGGUGUCCGCUCUGUACUAUCUGCAUUCCCACCGCAUCCUCCACCGAGACAUGAAACCUCAGAACAUCCUUCUUGCUAAGGGUGGUGGCAUCAAGCUCUGUGACUUUGGAUUUGCCCGGGCGAUGAGCACCAACACGAUGGUGCUGACAUCCAUCAAAGGCACACCACUCUAUAUGUCUCCAGAGCUGGUGGAAGAGCGUCCAUACGACCACACCGCAGACCUCUGGUCUGUGGGCUGCAUACUGUAUGAGCUGGCUGUAGGCACCCCUCCCUUCUACACUACGAGCAUCUUUCAGCUGGUCAGCCUCAUUCUCAAGGACCCUGUGCGCUGGCCGACCACCAUUAGUCCUUGCUUCAAGAGCUUCCUGCAGGGACUGCUCACCAAGGACCCCAGGCAGCGUCUGUCCUGGCCAGACCUCUUACAUCACCCCUUUAUAGCUGGUCGUGUCACCAUAAUAACUGAACCAGGAGGCCCAGAUUUGGGCACCCCAUUCACCAGUCGCCUACCCCCAGAACUUCAGGUCCUAAAGGACCAACAGGUGCAUCAGCUGGCCCCCAAGGGCAAUCGAUCUCGCCUCUUGAGACAGGCCUGUAAGCGCAUGGCUGAGGAGGCCAAGCAGAAGAAACACCAGAACACAGGACCUGCCCUUGAGCAAGAGGAUAGGACCAGCCAGAUGGCUUCUGGCACAGCCCCUCUGCCUAGACUAAGAGCCACUCCUCAGGAACCAGGCCUCUCGGCUGAGAUCUUGGCCUCAGAAAUGAAGAGCAGCUGGGCUGAGUGGGGGGCUGGAGAGGCCCCCCCUGCACCUCGGGAAAACCAGAUCACUCAGGAUUGUGAACGAGUUCUCCCAGAACUGAGGCCAGAGGUGGUGGGCCAGCGGAGCAUUGAUGCAGUGGACCUAGAAAAUGAGGAGCCAGACAGCGACGAUGAGUGGCAGCACCUGCUAGAGACUGCUGAGCCUGUGCCCAUCCAACUGAAGGCCCCUCUCACUCUGCUGUGCAAUCCUGACUUCUGCCAACGCAUCCAGGGCCAGCUGCAUGAGGCCGGGGAGCAGAUCCUGAAAGGCAUGCUGGAGGGUGCAUCCCGUAUCCUUCCGGCACUCCGAGUCCUGAGCAGUCUUCUGUCUAGCUGCAGUGACUCCAUUCCCUUGUACUCCUUCUGUCGCGAGGCGGGGCUCCCCGGGCUCCUGCUCAGCCUGCUCAGACACAGCCAGGAACACAACAGUAUCCAGCAGCAAUGUUGGUAUGGGACCUUCUCACGGGACCUGAUGGCUGUGAUUCAGGCCUACUUUGCCUGCACCUUCAAUCUGGAGCGGAACCAGACAGGUGACAGCCUACAGGUGUUUCAGGAGGCUGCCAGCCUCUUUCUGGACCUGUUGGGGAAACUGCUGGCCCAACCAGAUGACUCUGAGCAGACCUUGCGGAGGGAUAGCCUUAUGUGCUUUACUGUUCUGUGUGAAGCCAUGGAUGGGAACAGCUGGUCCGUCUCCAAAGCCUUUUACUCCAGCCUGCUGACGACUCAGCGGGCGGUCCUGGACGGGCUGCUCCACGGCUUGACAGUUCCCCAGCUCCCUUUCCACACACCCCCAGGAGCCCCCCAAGUGAGCCAGCCGCUGCGGGAGCAGAGCGAGGGUCUGCCUGGAGCCAUGUCCUGUGCGUUGGCGGCCGUUUGCACUGCUCCGGUGGGGCUGCCCAGCUGCUGGGGAGCCAAGGAGCAGAUCUCCCGGCAUUUGGCGAAUCAGCUCACUGAAGACAGCAACCAACUGAGGCCGUCCCUUAUCUCUGGCUUGCAGCAUCCCAUCCUGUGCCUCCACCUUCUCAAGGUUCUCUACUCCUGCUGCCACGUCAGUGAGCGCCUGUGCCAUCUUCUAGGGCACGAGCCCCUGGCCUUGGAGUCACUGUUGAUGUUGGUCCAGGGCAAGGUAAAGGUAAUGGAUUGGGAAGAGUCUACCGAAGUAGCACUCUACCUCCUCUCCCUUCUUGUCCUCCGGCUGCAAGAUCUACCUUCUGGAAUGGAGAAGCUGGGCAACGAGAUUGCUACUCUGUUUACCCGUUCACACAUCGUCUCUCUCGUGAGCGCAGCAGCCUGUCUGUUGGGACAACUCAGUCAGCAAGGGGUGACCUUCGACCUCCAGCCUGUGGAGUGGAUUGCGGCAGCCUCACAUGCUCUGUCUGCCCCUGCAGAGGUCCGGUUGACCCCACCAGGUGGCUGUGGAUUCUACGACGGCCUCCUCAUGCUCUUGCUGCACCUCCUCACCCAGCCAGAGAAGGGUAGCCUGAUAAGGGAUGUGGUUAGCUCAGAAAUGUGGACCGUUCUGUGGCACCGCUUCUCCAUGGCCCUAAGGCUCCCUGAGGUGGUGUCUCCACAGGAAGAGGAGCCGUCGCUGUCUAGGCCACAAAGCCCAGAGCCAGACUGGACACUGAUCUCACCCCAAGGCGUGGCAGCCCUGCUGAGCCUGGCCGUGGCCACCUUCACCCAGGAGCCCCAGUUAUGCCUGAGCCACCUGUCACAGCAUGGAAGUAUCCUCAUGUCCACCCUGAAGCAUCUGCUUUCCCCCAGCUUCCUGCAUCAGCUGGGCCGGACGCCUCACGGGCCUGAGUUUCUGCCGCUCGUGGUGCUGUCUGUCUGCCGGCUCCUCUGCUUCCCCUUCGCCCUGGAUGUGGACGACGACCUCCUCGGAGGUGUCUUGGCUGACUUUGGGGCCUCAGAAGUUGCAGCCCACCUGCUUCAGGUCUGCUGCCACCAUCUUCCGCUGCCUCAAGUUGAGUUGCCUGUCAGUCUCCUCACACGCCUGGCCCUCACGGAUCCCACCUCUCUCAACCAGUUUGUGACCGCGGUGGCUGCCUCCCCUAGACCUGUCAUCUCCUUCCUCUCAGUUGCCCUCCUGGGUGACCAGCCACUGCUAACCUCCGACCUUCUCUCCCUGCUGGCCCACACAGCCCGAGUGCUGUCCCCCAGCCACUUGUCCUUUAUCCAAGAACUCCUGGCCGGCUCUGAUGAAUCCUACCGGCCCCUGCGGAGUCUCCUGGGCCACCCAGAGAAUUCUGUGCGGGCCCGCACGUACGGGCUCCUGGGGCACUUGCUGCAACACAGCUUGGCCCUGCGUGGGGCGCUGCAGAGCCAGGCGGGGCUGCUCAGCCUCCUGCUGGUGGGGCUUGGAGACAAGGAUCCCGCUGUGCGGCGCAGUGCCACCUUUGCUGUGGGCAACGCAGCCUACCAGGCUGGUCCCCUGGGGCCUGCCUUGGCUGCCGCCGUACCCAGUAUGACCCAGCUGCUUGGAGACCCUCAGGCUGGCAUCCGGCGCAAUGCCGCGUCGGCUCUGGGCAACUUGGGGCCUGAGGGGCUGGGGGCAGAGCUGUUACAGUGCCAAGUACCCCAGCGGCUCCUAGAGAUGGCGUGUGGAGACCCCCAGCUAAAUGUGAAGGAGGCCGCCCUCAUUGCCCUCCGGAGCCUCCGACAGGAGCCCUGCAUCCAUCAGGUGCUGGUGUCCCUGGGGGCCAGUGAGCGAUUAGCCAUGCUCUCUUUGGGGAAUCAGUUACUGGCACCCAGCAGCCCCCGGCCUGCCUCUGCCAGACACUGCAGGAAGCUCAUUCACCUCCUGAGGCCAACCCACAGCAUGUGAUCUCAGAUUCCUGCGGUCCGUCCUCCAGCCUUUGUGGCCCCCUUAUUGCCAACCUCUCCUUUUUCUACUAUAUGAGCCACCAACUCAACCAAGAGCUAAGGAGACUAAACAAAAGAGAUAAGCUGCAAGUCAACUAUUUGAGAACAAGAAACUAGAAGAGAUUUCUGUAUAAAGCUCCCUCCUUUCCCCAGAUACUGAUUUCAACCAGUAAACCUCAUUGAUGUUGGUGCCAGAGAAGAUUCCUUCCUUUUCUACAUCGAAGGCUUUUUCUCCGAUCAUGUGCCUUUAAUCCCAAGAACAUGCCUCCUGGACAUCAGGGAGGCAUCUUCCAUCUGAGAGCUCUCUUCCUUUCUGGAGCUCCUAUAAUCCCUCCAGCAGGUUCCUGCCUUAGUGCACUGCCCCAGGACAGUGAUGAAGACAGAGCCUGUCUCCUCUCUAGCUUCUUCCAACCCAGAGGAGCUACAUGUGGCCACCUAUUUCCAAGCCAGGGCCAGUGGAGCUGAAAUAGGGAGGGAUAGGAUUAAACAGAGAGGUACAUUGGAUUGCUUUGUGAUCUCAGCCUUACUGAUGAGUUUUGAUGUUUGGUGGAAUUUCAAUGUUUGGGAAGCCCAGCUGCUUGAGAAGGGCAGCUGUUUAUCGACAUUGUGCAUUUUACCAGAAAGAGAUGUUUGGCAGACCCAUUAGUUAGAGUCGUGAUCCAGCUGGAAACAUACUAGAAAGCUUAAACCUUGCAACAAGCUUCCCAGAGCCCUGAUUUCUCCAUCUGUAAAAUGGGGAGACUACUUUCUGUCCUUCCUAAAUUCCAAUUGUUUUUUGAAAUGAAAGAUGAGU